GUUUGGAAAGGCUGAAUGCCACAUGACCCAUAAAAUAUGAACUUUCAGUUUUCAAUCAAAUGAGGAGGGGAAGUGGCUCUGUGUUCUCACCAGAGUGUUUUAAAUAAUCUCCUCUAUAAAUAUAUAUAUGAUUGGACUCUAUAACACUAUAUAUAAUAAAGGUGGGUAGCAAAACCUGUUUUCUACCUCAACAUUGUUUAUGCUAUUUUAAUAAGUUGAAUAAACUUGGGAAACUAAGAAAAUGUCACUUUUCCAACUCUGCCAGGAAGGAAUCUGACAACUGCUACAUAAUCACUGAAAUGCUGCAAUUUGUUAAAAUGCUCCUAAUAAUUUUUUCUGACUUUUAUCCAAAGGCUAAAGUACGACAGAGAGAGAGCAAGAGAAUCGGGCUAAUGAUGAUUAACAUAUUACAGAGAAGGAAGGCUACCAUGAUUAAUUUCAAAGUCAAAGUGCUAGGGAGUUGGCACCUUCACAGAAUCUCUGAUCAGGGGAGAGAGCAGGAGUUUGAAAAGAGUGCAAAAAAAAACCACAGCCUUUAAAAUAAUGAACAGCUUUCCCAAGUCUUGCCAUACUGCAAAAACACCCAUACACCACGCAUGCAUACAAUUCCCAGGGGCUCAUAAAUUAAUUUAGUGACAAAAGAUUGUACCCAAGUGAUAAAGGUCCAGUACUACGAUUAUCUUUAUGGAUAAUUGGGGCCAUAAAAUAGUUCCAAAGCACCUUUUAUUUGUCAUUUGUUGACAAUUCAACCAAUUCUCCUGUCUGCCAUCCUCCAUAUUUAAUAGGUCCCUAUCGAAGUAUGCAACACACUCGUUCGUAUGGGAAGAAUGUCUUCAUAUUGUUAUGCCAUUGCAUAUCCUUUACUUCCUUACGUUGUUCAUCAGUCUACCUCCUGCUCUCUUUUUUUUUCUAUGACACCUCUGAGAUGGUACCCAUAGCAACACCCCUGAGAAGAAGGUGAAAGUGAAGAUGCUGCAGUCAUCCCCAGCGCACAGUGCUGACAAUGCCAGUCAUUAAUGCAGCAGCUUCUGCCUGCUCAGAUCUCCCUCGCUCCUCUCUGGUCUUGUUUCCCUCCAGUAGCAGCCACAGAGCUCACUCACAGAGAUCCAGAGACUUGCUGUUAAUGAUUUGUCACUUGUUUAGAACACCUCAGGAUGGCAGACAACAAGGAAGUUCUGGCAGAUGAAUGGAAGCUAAGCUCUCCUGGAUGGAGAGUGUUAGAAGAGACACUGGAAACUCAGUCCCAAGAUGCUCAGAGCAGCAGGUUUGAAGUGCUUAGAGAGUAACACCUAUCCUUCUCCGCAAUCCAGCACCCCUAGACCAGUAACUGAGAGAAUGUGCUGUGUAAAUACGCGAGUGGUCUCAUCUUCGGUUAGAGUGGAUGAGUCUAAGUGUGUGUUUUACACCAGUGCUCACAUUUCCCCAGCAAGAUCAGGCUCCACUUGCCUACAGUGGAGGGAAGGAAAGGAGAGAGCAACAACCUCUGGAAGAAAUGGAAGUGGUUAUCACUAAUGCAAACAUAUUACAUUGAAUGAAAGAAUCUUCUUUCACAGCUUUGCAGCAAACACACAGAAGACAUGAAGAAAAUAAGUCCACAGCCCAAAUUAUCACAACGAGUUUGGAACUUAGGAUAUCCUUCAUUUUGGCUAAUCAGAUCCCUUCCUAGUUAUGAUGGGGCAAACUUCGUAAUAACACACAGCCUGGACUCCACCAAUGGGAAUAAUUACCAUCUGUAGAAGUAUUAUGAAACUGCCUUAUAAAAGUUUUUUUAUUAAAUAUAUAAAAUUAAACUCAU
rnacentral:lncRNA from 10 species